CACGUAGUUAGCCGGGGCUUCUUAGUCAGGUACCGUCUGUUUCUUCCCUGCCGAUAGGGCUUUACGCACCGAGGUGCUCCUUCACCCACGCGGCGUCGCUGCAUCAGGGUUCCCCCCAUUGUGCAAUAUUCCCCACUGCUGCCUCCCGCAGGAGUCUGGGCCGUGUCUCAGUCCUAGUGUGGCCGUCCGCCCUCUCAGGCCGGCUACCGAUCGUCGCCUUGGUGGGCCGCUGCCCCCGCCAACUAGCUAAUCGGACGCGGGCCCAUCGCGCACCGUCCGGGUCGCCCCGGGCUUUCCCCGCAGGGCCAUGCGGCCCCCCGGGAAUAUGCGGUAUAGCGGCCGUUUCCGGCCGUUGUCCCCCUGUGCGCGGCAGGUUGCCCACGCGUUACUCACCCGUCCGCCACUCGGCCGCGCCUUCACUAGGUUUCAGGCGCGGCCCGUUCGACUUGCAUGUGUUAGGCACGCCGCCAGCGUUCAUCCUGAGCCAGGAUCAAACUCU
rnacentral:rRNA from 1 species